rnacentral:rRNA from 1 species
CCCUACGGGGGGCAGCAGUGAGGAAUAUUGGUCAAUGGGCGCGAGCCUGAACCAGCUAAGUCGCGUGAGGGAAGACGGUCCUAUGGAUUGUAAACCUCUUUUGUCGGGGAGCAAAAGACGCCACGCGUGGCGUUCCGAGAGUACCCGAAGAAAAAGCAUCGGCUAACUCCGUGCCAGCAGCCGCGGUAAUACGGAGGACGCGAGCGUUAUCCGGAUUUAUUGGGUUUAAAGGGUGCGCAGGCGGAAGAUCAAGUCAGCGGUAAAAUUGAGAGGCUCAACCUCUUCGAGCCGUUGAAACUGGUUUU